GUCUCUGUAGUGCAAUGGAUAGCGCGUUGGACAUCUAAUCCAAAGGUCGUGGGUUCGAAUACACCUGGGAUG
rnacentral:tRNA from 1 species